AUUGAACGCUGGCGGCAGGCCUAACACAUGCAAGUCGAGCGACCGGCGGACGGGUGAGUAAUAGAUGGGGACUGCCCGAGAGAGGGGGAUAACGACAGGAAGCGGUAACUAAUAACGCAUACUAUCGGAUAACCCAGAUGGGAGUAGCUGGUAGGGUAGUUACUGUCUCACCAAGGCGACGGUCCCUAGCUGGUCUGAGAGGAUGAUCAGCCACACGGGAGCGUAGACACGGCCCAGACUCCUACGGAGGCAGCAGUGGUGAAUAUUGCAACAUGGGCGCAAGCCUGAUGCAGCCAUGCCGCGUGUAUGAAGAAGGCCUUAGGAUUGUAAAGUACUUUCAGUCGGGAGGCGUUACCGACAGAAGAAGCACCGGCUAACUCCGUGCCAGCAGCCGCGGUAAUUC
rnacentral:rRNA from 1 species